rnacentral:lncRNA from 1 species
AAUCACUGGUGGUUGAUUCCUGUUUUCAUCAGCAUUUCCUACUCCACUUCUUGUUCUCACCAUUUUUGAUCUACACACCGAAUAAGGUGAAAUUAGAUCCUCAUUCACGAUAGAUAUUCAAAUCAUCCUUAUCACAUCGAAACGUUUACAUGCUAGUUCUAAAUUCGUAGACGUACGCUUAGAAUCCUACACACGUAAGGUAUCCAGAUCCGGUCGGCAACAGACCAUAGAUCCGAACAAAUAAUAUUAUAUAUGGCAACAUAUAACAUUUAGCACAUAAAAUCAUUUUAGGCAACAUUCCUAAAAUAAACUAGUGCUCGUGUCUAAAAUAUCACAAACACACAUCUCAAAAUUUCACUUAGCAUUCUAAGUUUAAGUCUAGAAAUCCUACAAAUUCCUAGUUCGCUUAAACUAAUGCUCUGAUACCAACAGUGACAUCCCCAGAAUCUCGGCCAGAAAAAACCGGUUUCAUUUAUGCUUUCUAAACAUUUUUAGAGUAAAUCAUUUUUGAUUUUGAGAAAAGAUGCGGAAUUUGUUCCCAAAAACAAAACAUGAUAAAAUAGAUUUUUAUCAAAACAUUUCAUGAAGAAAUAUAAUUUCAUUCCAUAAUCAAAAAACCAGGAUGUCAUGUUCCGGUACAGACCAUACAGCAUAAACGAUAACAUUACAAGUCAUUCAACAACUAUAUACAUAUACAGACUUGUAAACAAAACAACUUGAUGAUUAUCCAUCUUAUGCCCUCGCGCCACUUCCUGUAAUACAAAGAAAAACUGAGUGGGUCAGGCUUGGGAGCCUGGUGAGCAUAUAGGGUUUUCAACCCACAAUAAAUAAUUAUAUUUAAUUCCACCAACCAACAAUAACCCAAUUACCCAUUCCCGUUAUUCUCACUUUACGUCCCUAAAACAACUAACACAAGGGACCUAGUCUUAGAAUAUUUCAUCGGGGCGACAACACAUGCAUUCGGGGGUUUCCCGGCAAUAUAUGUCAAAUAAGGCAACCAUGAGGGGGAUGGAGUACAACGAAUGAACACCCAAGUUCAUUAACACCUACAGGUGGCGAGCCUACUAUUGUUCCACAAGACUGUCUAGAAAAGUCCAUGGUCGUCAUCUAAACUCCGCUAGAUGACUGAAUCAAAAUAACAUUGAGACCUCUAAUCUGUUUAUCACACAUUAACAAUCUACCCAUCUUCUACCCAACAUAUUAGUAGAUAAAAAUAUUUAUUUUUAUACAUAGUUUAAAACCAGUAUAGCAUGUUCAGUCAAUACAUAUUCCACAUAGCAGAUGAGGCACACACACAUAACACGUAUAUCAUAGAGAAUAAAUCAGAUCUAUAAGAUAUAAGAAAGUGAAUACAUAUUCACACAUAUAACAACAAAAUAUAUACACAUAGUACGUAUUUUAUAAAAUACUUCAUAUCUAUGUGUUAGAAGAAAAUGACAACAUACUCACUUGAUCAAAAGAUGAUCAGACAGCACUACGACUUGCAGAAGUAGUAUACUUCAAUAGAUCUGGAAGAUCUCCACAAAAACCGGGCUCCUCGCGGGCAGCGCUUCGGCUCGGGAAUAACGCUCUUCGGGAUCCUCGGGGCUUCAGAUCUUGCUUUGGGGCUCGGGAAUGAUAUCGGGGAUUCGGGAUAUGAUUGGCACGCAAAUCGAGGCAAAACUAGAGAGGAGAAAGAGUUUCAACAAGAGAAAAUGGAUGAUCUCGGUUUCUAUUUAUAGGCUGCUGGGUCUGGGAUUACGUUGGGCGUAACUUGGUUACGCUGGGCGUACUUCGACGUCACUGCAUGCGUCAUUUGGUGGCACUCGAGUAUUGGUCAGGCAACUUGCACCCUUCUGAGUACGCUGGGCAUACUCAAAUUAAGCUCGGCGUAAUUUGACUCGUCAAACUUCUAAAUUGCGUAACUUCCGCAUACGUGCUCCAUUUUCGACGUUCUUUAUAUCCACGCGUACGUGAUACUACGCUCUACAACUUUCAUUUAGACUCCUUUGGCUAAUUUUGACUUUUAUUUUUUAUUAUUUAUUUUUAGUAGGCCGGGAUAGGAAAACUUCGUUAUAAAUUCAUAACUUCUUCGUCUGACAUCCGUUCUCGCCUAACUUUUCAUCGUUUCGCUACUAACAACAAGAUCUUCGAUUCUCGUUUAGAUUGUUUCGGCUAUAAACCGCUCGAUCUCAAAUCGAGGAUUCGGGCUGCAUACCGCAAAGUCGAAACUUCAGAAAAUCAUAACCUCCUCGUACGAAGUCAGAUUUGGGCAUUCUAUAUAUAUUCAAAAACCUCGUUUCGGCCACUACAACUUUAUGCAAAGAUAUCGGGCUUAUCUCAUACUUUAAUUUUGACGCUUAUUUUAUUCUUAAUUCAUUAAAUUAUAAUACUUAAGAAAAUAAACACAUGAUUCACAUAAUUCACAUAAUACUCGAAUAUUUCAUCAUUAAUACUUCAAAAGAGCUACAUGGGUUAACCUAGACUAUUACGUCAAGGAUAAUGCCUAGCCUAGAAACGCGGGCGUUACAGACCAUAAUGAGAGACAUAACACUUAAGGUUGAUUAAUAUAUUAUAAGUUCUAAUAUAUUAAUAGGAUUAUUUCAUUAGUAUUGAUCAAUAAUUAAUCNGUGAUCAAAAGAAGACUAAUUAAAUAUAUGGGUUGAUUGUGUAAAUCAUCCAUACUUGUAUAGUGGGCUAAUGCUCCAUGGAUAAUCAAGUUGGGCUAAAACCCAUAGGAUGGUCCAUGGAUGCUCCAUGGUGUAUUUGAACCCAUGGAUCCAAGGAAAUGGAAGGCCAUGACAAUUAGGGUUUACCCUAAUUGUAACAACUAUAUAAGAUCAUAUUCUUUGGGAAAAUCGGCCACUAUGAAGAAUAAGAAAGGGCUAGCCGAUUUCAUGGAGUGUUCAAGUUUCUCUCAAGUUAUUCCAAGUGUAUUUGGUGUUGUGUGAACCAUUUGAGGCGUCACACUUGAGGCACUAAGCACUCAAGCUUCAUGAAGACAUUCUACAUCAAAGAGGUAUGUAUUAUGUCUUGUUAUAUUCAUUAUUUUGUAUGCUAGAUUAGGAUAAUACCUUGGAUGUUCAUAAUUGCAUGUAUAAUAGAGAAAACAUAGAGCCAAGGUAUUUAGGGUUGCGUGUACAUUUAGGAGUGUUAGAAUACUCAGAACCUAACAGUGGUAUCAGAGCCUAGGCUUGUUUUCUUGUUAUACUUGCAAAAUUGGCUGAAAAUCGAGUUUUUAUGCUGUCUGCCCAGCAGACUUGCCGAGUCCAAGGCAAAAUGCAUCCAACUCGCCGAGUUGGUUCGUUCACUCGACGAGUUGGACCCCCAGACAGCAUAUGUUCAACUUUUUUGGCUGGAAUUAGACUAGGAACAACGUUUUUGGACUUAUAAACUUGUUUUUGAUGUGGUAAUGUUCAUGCUAAUCCAAUUUCAAAGAUAAUUGUCAAUAGAUUCAUGUUUUGUAUUAGUUUAAGGUUUAGACUAAUUACAUGAAAAAGUUUGAUUUGAAUUAUCUUGUUCUUAUGAGUUGCUUAGAUUAAUAGAAAAGUUGAGUGAAAUAGUUGUUUUCAAUCCAAAUUAAUCUAAGAGUUGAUUCUAAAAUGUGUUUUUGUAACUUGUCCUCAAGUUAUAUGAAAAGUCACAUUUAAGUUUCAUAAAACUCAUAAAAGUUGGCAAAGGUUACAAAAUGAAGAGUCUAGUUCUAAUUAAAUGGUUUUAUGACUCCAUAACUUGUCCUCAAGUUAUGGAGGUUCAAGAGUCUCUUCAUUAAAUAAUAAAUAAAAAAAAAUGUAACCUUAAUUAAUUCCAUAAGUUAUAAAAUAAAGAAAAGUUAAUUCUUUUAUUAGUUUAAAGUCUUCCAUAACUUGUCCUCAAGUUAUGGAACUUGAAGAGUUUUUGGAUUAAAACUACUUUAAACACAUAAGUUAUGGAAUUAAUUAGUUUUGAAUAGUUUCAAAACUUGCCCUCAAGUUUUGGAAUUUGAAAAGUUUUCACUUAUGAAUACUUUAAUUCCAAGUUAGCCCUUAGAAUUUUAAAAGUUAAAAUUCAACCCUUAUACUUUAUAAUAUUAUAAGUUAAUAAUAUAUAUAUGUAUAAGAGUAAAGUCAGUCUUACCGCUAGUACGCCUCAUUCACGAAGCCGGUCUAUAAGGUGGGUAUAAGGUUGUUGCCUAUAAAAUGGCAACUUAAUGGGUGUCCACUCUCACCCACCGCUUGCUUGACUGGUGGAGGGUCGUUAGCCGAACGGGUUUGACAGGACUAGAAUUCUCCCUUCAUUAAAAGUAUUAAUGAUAAUACUAAGUAACUAAACUCUUAAUAAUACCCAAUCUUAGUUACUUAGGAAAAAUGUGAAUAAGGUGCUAAUCCAUGAAAUUACACUUUACACUUUGUCUAAGUCGUUAGUGGAGCGUGUGUGGUUAACCGGCACACUAACUUGGACUUAACAAGGUAGGUAAAGGGUGACUUAAUAUUUAUCAUAGUAUCGAUGGAGCGUGUGUGGUUAACCGGCACAUCGAUUGAGGGGUAAUUUAUUAAGGGUACCAAGUGAUUUGCAUGGUUACUUCACACCUUGUUUUGUGAUCCUCGGCAUCCCAGUCACAAAACCUGAAGGGCACACUCGAGAUUGAAACAUGCCUUUGAAAAGUUCAAUGAAUCUCAAAGAUCUAGGAGUUUCAAAACCAAUUAAAACCUAAUAAUACAUUUCGUUUAUCUUGGUGGAAAUUGGUGAAUCGUCAUUCACCUACCUUCAAAUAUUUUAUAGCUUGGAUUACGGCAUCCCUCUUCUAAGUUAUAAAAUAGUUUGUUGGGUCCUAGCCUUAAUAUUUCAUAUUGGGUGUCAUAUUAAGGACUUAAGAUCAACUAUCUUGAAUAUCCCCAAAAAGAUGUCUGGUUUAGACAUUUAUGAUCUUCCCAAAUCUCUUGAAACAAGCUUUCCUAAAUGAAGAUGAUGUCCCAUGGAAAUCAUACUUCUUUCACCUCCUCCAAUUAUUCUCCCUAUCCCACAAGUUCAAGGUCACUCAAGCCCUAUUGGCAAGGCAAGGUCUAGGUGUGAUCACAUCUUGGAGAUGUAGUCACAUAUUGACAAGUCGGGAGAGUUGGGUGUCAAAGUCUUGAGAAAGUUGGGGGCUCAACUACUUUCUAAGUCACAUAUUGAGUUCCUUUGGAACACAUAUGAAACAGACUAUGACAAGGCCCUUAAUGAUCUUAUCUAUUUUCUAAGAUCAACUUCCUAAAACUUGUGCACAUUGACAAUAAUGACAUUGGAUAUCUAGUAAAGAUCUCUCUUCCCAAUGGAAAGGGAUUGGCCAUAGUCAACUCGGUUGACCAAAUGGUAAAGAGAAAGGCUAAGUAUGUGAUACUCCCAUGUUCCAUUACCAAAACGUCCAUAUGUUAAAUUGCCAAAGGAAGGGGCAUUAGUUGCGAAGCUACCAAUUUUACCUAAGGAUAUUAAAGUCAAUAAAUUUGACUCUACUUCAGGUAAAGUUCACUAUCUGACUCUGCUAAGUUUCUAUUCUGAGAUUCUUGAUACAUGAUGUGACUGGGUCACAUGUUGAUGUUUUAAGAGUCAAGAAAAAGUGAUGAAACUUAAAGAAAGAAUAUGUUGAAUCUAAUCGCACAGAUGGAUUUCUAUCUCAUAGUUUGAAGAUCAGAUUCUUGAGCUACUUCUUAGGAGUUAUAAUAUAUCGCUUAGGAAUAGAUAACAACAAGUUUUUCAUAUGGAUUGUAAGGAUUGUUUUUCGGCAAAGUUUUUAAAAUAAAAGGAAAAAUUUUGAUUUUAUUUAUUUUAAAAUAUCCUUACAAUGGCGUUUGUGGAAAUUUUUGUUGCUUAUAAGAUUCCAUUAAUAGCAAGAGUGGAAAUUUGAAUUUGAUUCUUUCAUUUGUGGUAGUGUCUAAAUUUACCAAAUAAGGAAAGAUUCUCAUCACCCAAGUUUCAGUUGGAUCGAAACAUGGAAUCAUGCAAGUUGUAUAGUAUGAUGAAUGAGAAUUUUCAAGCCUUGGAAAAAAUUAAGACUAAUUACUUGUUCACAUGGAUGUGUGAGUCAAGUAAAGGACUAAGGGAUCCAGUACACAUUCUUGUGCACUGGUUAAGUCCACUAUAAAUAUCGAUAAGACUGUUCGUCAUAAUUUACUAUAGCUCAGUAAAUACGGUUAUACUUACAAGCUUAAGUGUAAUUCUGAGACAUUGGAAAAGGUUCCAAUGUAUGACAGAGCGAAUAAGAAGAAUCAACUUAGGUAGAAAGAUAAAAGUCUCUCAAAUCUGAAAAGAUGGGAGAGUACUUUAGUAUCAUGUUUUAAGACCAUCUUAAUGAUUUUGAGACCUUAUCACAAUUCAUCCUCUAAGUGCAUUCUGGUAGCUAAGAAGAGGAGCUAUGAAUUGUUGAAGUGGUCAAAUCAAGAAGAUGAGUCAUACUUCGCUCCAAAUACAAGUCUUAGAGUCAUACUCCAAGACUGUAAGUUGAGUGACAUGUCUUAAAGAAGGUUUAAAACACAUGACAAAUGUAAGAGUAAAAGUUUUCUACUCUUGUACAUUUGAAGUUGGUAAGUUGUGAUGUUUUGGAUAAAAUAAAGACCAACUAAGGCCAAUUGUGUGAAGUGUUUGUCUUGAUUAGAAUCCACACUAUCUCUUGAAUAUCUGACAAGAAAGUCUUAUAUGUCAAGAGGACAGUGGGAGUCUUAAAGUCUUGAAAGUCUCAAGAACUAAUCAAGAAUAAAACCUGAAAUUCUUCACUAGCACACGACUUGAGGUUCAUAACCUAUCGUGUUGACAUAUUCUGUGCCCAUUCCAGUUAAAGUUGGCUUUGCAUAUGAGUUCUUAGAGUUCUCAAUUUGUUGCACAACAACUUGGAAGCAAUGGUAGGCCCUUGAGCUGCCAGGUGGCAAGAAAUUAAGAUUGAGUUCAGUCCAUAUGAGUUUGGAUUUGUCAUUAUCCUUGUCUUGUGACUAUGAUUUUGACAAUUCACAUGGAUAAGAACACAUACACCAUUAAAUCUAAGUGUCAUAAGGUUUCUCUCCGAUUCAUGAAAAUGAUGGUGAGGAAACACUUUCACUAAGUAGAUUUUAGCUAGAUAGCAAUUGUGAUAUUUGCAUUCUCAAAGUCGUUAGUGGAGCGCGUGUGGUUAACCGGCACACUAAUUUGGACUUGUGAGAAGUGGCAAAAAGGUCUAAACAUUAUGAUUACGGCAUCCCUCUUCAUAAUUGUUUAGAUACACAAGUGUGCUAUCUAAGGGAAGGUGUAUGAUUUUGAUAAAGUUUUAUCAAAACAAUCUAGCAUCAGAAAUCUGAACUUUGGUAAGAAAGUCAAUGAAGUAUUGAUUUCUAGAAGUCCAGCUGAUUUCUGAGUACAUGUCAAAGCUAGUGGGAGCAUAAGUGUUAUGCUAAUAAUCAUCAUGUUAGUGGGAGCAUGAUAAUUAUGAUAAGUAUUGCAAGUUAGCAAUGUUAAUUAUAGAAAACAAAAGUUUCAAUUGGGAAAAAGUUGUUUUGCUAUAAUUAAGGGAGAGGAAAUUAUGCUUCAUCUCAAAUCUAUAAGCUUAGAUCGUGAGGUUUUAAUCAUUUAGUCAAGGAUAUAUAUGAAUUUCAUGUUGGAAUGGCUCAACAUAAGGAAAUUCUGUAUAUGGGUCCAUUAUUUGCGUUCUAAAAUUCGAUUAUGAUUACGGCAUCCCUUUUCAUAAUCUGAAUUAUGAGAACUUGGCAAAUUGAAAUGGAAAUGUUAUAGCAAAAGACUGGUUUAGUCUUUAUGUGAGACAUCAUGAAUCGUGUCCCAUAUGCUUCGGAUAUAGGAUCGAUUACAUGUGCUAUAUUCAUCCGUUCUAAAAUUUUCCAAAUGCCUGGGGCAUUAAGAAGGGAAAAGGUUUAGAACUGGAUAUGACUAAAAGGAUUAAACAAUUGUCGAGGACAAUCUAAGGUUUACCAAAGAUUGGUUGCUCAAGGACAGUUGGAAGUAUAGUGAUAAUUCUGGAAGGACCAUAUUGACAUAAUCUGUAAGGAGGCAACUCUUGUUCAGAAGUGAUAGUCAAAAUGGAAUCUGGAAAUGUUUCAAAGUUAGAAUUUUCAAUCUGUUUAAGAUUAGGAAACUUAAUGCAAGAAGGAUGUUUCCAAGGAGCUGAUCUCCUUUGGAAUACUCUGUAAUGAUUGUUGUCAAGUCUUUCUGACUUUGUGCAUAAUCAUUACAAGAGGAUCAAUGCAUAUAAGUUUAGAAUCUAACAGAUUUCAGUAAAUGGCAUGAAUUUGGAAUUCUUGCAUUUGCAGUAAGGAUUUGGGAGUGUGAAAAGAGAAUCAUUGAAGUUAUGUUCAAUUGAUCUAGUUCACAAAGUAAAGAUCAUAGACAAACAUAGUAUGCAUACUUGGUGUGUGGCAUGACUAGUGUUUAAGAAAACAUAGUGUACAUGCUUGGAGCAUGGGACAACUAUUGUUUUAAAUUCAAGAAUAAAGUUGAUAGCUGAAACAGUAUACAAUGAAUAAUGUGUAAUCAUAUGGUGAUAAAUAAAAGGUGUUUUAUUUAUGUUCAUAGGUUUUGAUACCAUAUUGGAUUCAAUUAUUAUUGUGUUUCAUUUUGCAUGUUUUGACUUCCCGAAUAAACUAGGUUAUUCUUCCGGAAUGACUAAGUUAUUCAAACCAUCCACAGUCGGUCAUAUGUUGGAAGUAGAUAUGAAUUAAGACUGUCAUGGGUUGGCUUGUAGAGGUCUAAGGUGUUGGACAAAGGGCUACAACAAUCAUGAGUGCUCAUAAGUUCUGAGUAUUGGAUUCAACCCGCGCUCAUUGGAAUCACUUCAUGGAUUUUAUCACGAGUGAUCAUGAGACGAUAAUAUCUUAUAUUCUUCAAACCUAGAGAUAUGAGUUGUUACUAUGAGUUGAUAGUACAUUGAUAGCACGAAAACGCAUUUGGUAACUCGGUGUUAUAAAACGUGCCUUUGUGUAUGAUUCAACAAGUAGUAGAACAAGCCAUAUGAGUCGAAGUUUAUCCAUUCCUUUUACCUUCGGGAUAAAAGCGAUAUCUGUGGGCCCCUCGAUGAUUUGAUGAUGACAAAUGGAAGUGCUCGGCCGGGCCAGGACUGAUUUGAUUUGUUCAAUUAGUCAGUCGUCAUAAAUCGGAAAUCGGGAAACAACAAAUGGACAGAGAGAAUGAUUAUAAUCCAUGUCUCGGUCCAUAUGAUAUCUAGAAUGGAGGAAUAUAUGAUCCCUUAUCUAAUGGACAAGUCAUUGACAAAGGUCAGAGUUCAUCGGCAAGGUCAGAGUUCGACGGAAGCUUUUGAGAGCUACGAUUGCCAGUCGGUUCUUGAAGUCAUACUUGCAAUAAUAGUUUUAGACUUAUCCAAGUGGGAGACUGUUGGAUUAAUGUCUAAGUCCAUAACUAUAAUUGGUAAGACUUGACCCAACCCGGCAUGGUCCAUUUGGGUUGCAUGGCAUCAUGCAUUUGGAUAGACUAUAAUGAGAUAAAUAACACUUAAGGUUGAUUAAUAUAUUAUAAGUUCUAAUAUAUUAAUAGGAUUAUUUAAUUAGUAUUGAUCAAGAAUUAAUCUAGAAUUAAUUAAGUGAUCCAAAGGACACUAAUUAAAUAUAUGGGUUGAUUGUGUAAAUCAUCCAUACUUGUAUAGUGGGCUAAUGCUCCAUGGAUAAUCAAGUUGGGCUAAAACCCAUAGGAUGGUCCAUGGAUGCUCCAUGGUGUAUUUGAACCCAUGGAUCCAAGGAAAUGGAAGGCCAUGACAAUUAGGGUUUACCCUAAUUGUAACAACUAUAUAAGAUCAUAUUCUUUGGGAAAAUCGGCCACUAUGAAGAAUAAGAAAGGGCUAGCCGAUUUCAUGGAGUGUUCAAGUUUCUCUCAAGUUAUUCCAAGUGUAUUUGGUGCUGUGUGAACCAUUUGAGGCGUCACACUUGAGGCAUUACGCACUCAAGCUUCAUGAAGACAUUCUACAUCAAAGAGGUAUGUAUUAUGUCUUGUUAUAUUCAUUAUUUUGUAUGCUAGAAUAGGAUAAUACCUUGGAUGUUCAUAACUGCAUGUAUAAUAGAGAAAACAUAGAUCCAAGGUAUUUAGGGUUGCAUGUACACUUAGGAGUGUUAGAAUGCUCAAAACCCAACAACAUUCACCCCUUAGUACUACUAUGAACAAUCCCGACUUAACCGAGAUGCCAGCAUCAUCUUAGUUGAUUUGGUAUUAUGUUAUUUUUCCUAUAUCAUACAACUAGGGGUGUCUUAUUGUUGUCUUUUAUUCGUUUUGUUCAGAGUUGUUUUUGUCUCUCUUUGGUUUAUAGUUGCAUAUCAAUGUGUGGUUAGAUAUGCUAGUUCACUAUAAACAGUGCUCUAAUACCAACCUGUCACACCCCCGAACCAGACGGCGGAAACGUCCGAGGGCUCGCAUGACUUAAAUUGAAUAUAAUCACAAUGAAUAUACAUGAAUCAUAACAUAAACAUCACCAUCCGUCAAUAUAUUACAACUGACUUUGUUCACAUCAAGUACAUUGUUUUAACAUUACAAAUCCAUAACAUAAAUUGUUUGAUAGUUUUUCAAAAGCACAACGCACAAACAUACUGGGUACUACUCCUCAGCCUACCUGUUACCAGAGAAUACAAGUUAUUUUGGAAACGGUCAACAUGCGGAAUGUUGGUGAGUUCAUAAGCAGGUUUGAUAUGAAAAAUGUUUUGUGUAGUUUGAAAGAAAACAACCCAGAAAAUCCGAUAUUUCCUGAAAAGAACAAUGUUUAUGUAAAAGUGUGAAGAUCUGUAAAUAUAUGCAUGAUGAUUUCUAGACGUGUAUAGUUGAAAAACUUCGUAUUAAAAGUACCAGUGAAAAAUGUUGAACUUCCCCGGAAAACCCGAUGUUUUCCGAAAAUAAAAAUAUCAUAUAACUGUUCGAAUUGUUAUCCCAUCAUGUGAAUGAUUUUGAUUUACCUUGAUUACUUGAUUAAUAUUGGAUUUAUUUAUGUGAGUCGUUAUAACCAUGCAUGAUAAUGACUAGUUCGUCUGUCUUGGCACUCUGGUGAACGCCGGAAUUGAUCUUAAGAUUUUGUCACCCUAGACUGGUCGAGUCUAACUGUAGCGAACAGCUGAGGUGUGGGGGAGUCACCCCCGUAUAGAUCUAUACACAAACUCUCGCUCUCCCUCCAGGAGACUUUGAUUAUAACUACAGACUACGACCGACACACGUUGGUGCCACCCGUUAUUACUCACUAAAUCCCAAUUGACUUUGAUUACUAUUGAUUAUCGACCCGUAUUUGUUUACUUGGAUUGACGAUAAGCCUAGUAAACGAGGAGAAGAGGAUUACAAGAUCCUGCUAUUCCCGCGUAUUAUUUAUGGCUAUUGAUUAUACGAAGGACACGCUGACCCAUUUCGCAUUUAAUUUACUUGGAACUUACUAGCAAUGCUAAUGGGCCACUAACGCCCAAUAGCACUUAAAAGCCAUUGAUGGUCCCUUAAAUAUGAAAUUGGGUCAUAGAAAGCCAAAUAACAUUUAUUAUUAUCCAUUGGGCCCAAAAAUCAUGUUAAUGGGUCACAAAGGCCCAACAAGCAUGAUUGGAACUUUCAAGCCCAAAGAUUUGAAUGUUUACUUGUUUUAGGUGCAGUUUAAUUGUUGGAAAGUUUGAUUGGGUGAUUGUUAAUUUCGCAUCGGAACAAGGCUGGUCGAUUAUUUUAACGAUGUUUGGAAUUAUACGUAUUUUCAUCUUUCCAUUUUCAUGAAUGGUAGUUUGGUAUUUUUUUAUUAUUUUAACUCAAAUAUCUUAAAAAUAAAAUAAUUGACUCAAAAAUCUUGGUUUGAACCCCUUUCAGCCCAUCUUUGGUGAAAUUGACACUUUUAGUCCUUUAUAUAAAAAAAGAUAUUUUAAGCCCUUAAACUAUUUUCUUAACACUUUUGACCCAAAGACUUGUUCACGUGAUAUUCUUAGCUCAAAACUUAUUCUUUGGCAGUUUCAGCCCUUCCAGAAAAGUAUUUUUCGGUUAAAGCCCAAACUUUUGCAACUUUUACAUUUUUGGCCCAAAAUCCAAAAAGUUUACAUUUUUUAUCCUUAUUUGGAAAAUACAUCAUUUUAACCCCUGAAAUAGUUUUGUUUACCCUUUUUACCCCCAGUUUUGAGAAUUUUAUCAUUUCACUCCCUUGAAAGUUGAAAUUUUCGCAAGUUAUGGCUUAAUGGGCCGAAAAGCCCAAAAUUUGGCCCAUUAAGCUACAAUUUACACUUCUAUACCUUAAAAGAGUAUGAUAUCCAUCAAAACAUUUAUUUUUACUGAUUUGAAUCUUUUAGUCCUUAAGAAACCGUGAAUGACAAUCUUUCCCCAAACUUUUGCUUAUUUGACAAAAAUAACCCAAUAAUAAGUCUUAUGUUGUAACAUGUUUAUUUUAAACCUUGUAUGGUAGAUUUUUCAUAGCUAGUUAUGUGUAAUACACCUAGAUCACAUAUUUUUCCCUUAUGAACUAUAGAUCUCGAAAUAUCUUUCAUUUUUGGCACAUAUUUACCACAUAUACACAUGAAAUCACAUAUAACACACACAUACACAUAGAUAUACACAUUUUACUUGUAUUCUCCCCCAUAAAACAUAUGAAAACCGAAAAUAGAGGGGUAUGAACUAACAUUGAGGUUUGGAUUUGGUUUUGAUGAAGAUUUGAGAGAAGAUUUCGGCCCUAGCAACUUCUUGAGGAAGUUUUCGAACUUAGAUGGUUCUAGGGAGUUAGAUCAUGAAUUUACAUGAGUUAAGAUGAGAUGUUUGAUGAAAUAUAGAAGUUAAGCCAUGGAUUCAAGUAAAGACUUACCAAGAAUGAUGAUAGUAAUUGGUAAACUCCUUGAAGUCACACACCGAUGCUCGAAAAUUUAGAGAAAAGGGAAGAGUUCUUGAGAGUUUUUCUUGUAAGAGUUUGAUCAAAAUGAAAAUGGUGGUGGUGUGUGGUGCUCUCGGCCGUAGAUAAGGAGAGAAGGGGGAGAAAUGAGCUUGCCUUGAUACAUGAAACUAUGCAUGGAUACAUGGAAGAUAUUACUUAGAGAUAUGUUGGAUAAUCAUGAGGUGUCAACAUAAAAGUCAACUCUCUUAAUCUCCUUCUCUUUUUUCCCACUUGGGCCGAGAAUUAGAGAAAAGAGAAGAGUUUUUGGGCCUUUUUGCUUAAAUCCAUAUUGUGGGCCCAAUUUGAUGAUUUUUUAAGCCCAUUGGGCUCCCAUGAUGGUUUACGGCCUAAUUAGUCAAAAAUAAUAGGCUUCAUAGUCCAUUAAAGUUAAUUAGGUUAGUUAUGACCCAAUAAGGCCCAUUAGGGUAUUUUAUUUCAUUCUAGGCCCAAUAUGGCCCGAAAUGUUAAAAUAAAUGGAAGUGGGUCCAAUUAGAGCCCAUUUAAGAGUUCUAAGCCCAAAAUAGUCAAAUUGGAAGCUUAUUGGCCCAUUAUUGGCCCAUUAGGCCCAAUAAGGAAAUCCUAGUCCAUAAUGGACUUAAAUCGGGAUUUCUAGGGUUUCCAAUUCUUUGUUGACUAUUUGAAGUGCUUGCAUAGAGCGUUUGAUGGAAAAUUUGUUGUUAUUGAAUAAGCAUCAUACGAGUUUUCACAUUUUUGGUUCAUAAAUGUUAUCAUUGUUGUUGUUACAUGGUAUAGAAUUCCUAGUUGUGACAACUAGUCUUUAGAGAGCCAUUUGAGAGUUUUUAGUGUGUUUUACAUUCAAACACUUGUAAUUGAAUCUUCAUGAAUAUGAGACACAUUUGAAUCAUUGAUCUUGAGUCUAAAAAAUGUUUUUCUAUUAAUUUGAUUGAUUCGCAACUCUUUAUUUUCCACACUACUUGCCACUAGACGUUUCUGAAACUCUAUUUCAGUAUUUUAAACACUUGGACUAUUCUAGUCAAAGUUUACUGAAUUUUUCUCAUUUCUUCAAUAAACAUGUGUAUGUAUGAAUAUUUUUUAAUCUAACGAAUGACACGGAUAGCACCAUUAAGUAUGGAAAAGGUCGUCAUAGAUUUUGAGAAUCAACUUUGUGAUUUUAUGUUGAUGAUUAUAAAAUGUUGUUCACUUUGAGAAUCUGACAAUAAUUUAGCUUUUUUUUUGCAGAUAUGGGUAUAAUUAUGUCCGACUUCUGAUCUGUAUGUAAAUAAUUCCGACAAUGGUCAAACUCAAGAUUGUGAGGCUAUUGAAUUAAGUGUGAUGCCUAGGUGAAUCCAUCUUAUCACUUUGAUUUUCUCAUUGCAGCUGAGGGUACUGAAAAUGGCGAUGAAUUCAUCAUUUUUUGCACAUUUCAACUGUAUUGGCUCUAGGAUGGAUUUCAUUCCAGGGAUUGAUGGUCCCAUUGAAGGUAUUUCUAAGGUUCUUGACUAUUUUAGUAAUGUAUAUUUUAACUAUAUCAUUAAUCUUAUGUAUAUAAUUAAUCAAACAAAUCGUUAUUUACUUAAUUAGUUCUUAAGUUGGUGUACAAAAUCUUCUGAGGCAUAGGCCUUUCAAGGUUGUGGAAGCUACAAGAUGUUGUUGUUCCAUAGUGUUAAACCUAUAACACUUGGUAGGACAAAAUCACAUUACUCUUUGCAAGGGUUGAGCUUGCAAAAAUUAUAAGGUAUUUGAUUUAUAUAGUUUCUUCACAACGUUAACAUUUCUAGUGCAUUACUUAAUCUUUUACCUUUAGUUUUAUAGCCUCGGUAUGAAAAGGUUGCUAGGCUUUCUCAUGGAGUCAAUGUUGUUCAUCCAGGGAUUAUAUUAAUGACAUGGUCCCAUGUGCCAAUAUGGUAAAAUUACACUUCUUCUUUCUUAAUGUUUUCAUUAAGUCGCUAAAUUAUUACCAAACACUUUUAAUAUUGUAUUAAAAACUCUUAUAAUUUGGUAGCAUUAAAGGAGGUGUAAUGACUAGCUUACCAUCUAAUGUUACAAGUGGGUAUAUUUUAUUUAUGUCAUCAAACCUAGAAACUGGUUUUUGGAAUGUUCACAUUUUAAAGUUGAUUGGUAUUAUAAAGUUUUAUUGAUCAUAAAUUUAUUGAAACCAUUUUUAAUUUCUCAAAAAAUCCGUAUUUAUAUUUUAAAAUAGCAAUGAAGUUUAAUUUUUUUUUGUUUUUUUUACAAGCUUACUUUUAAAGUUUGUUGCUAUUUUAAUGUUUGAAAUAAGGACCAAAACUACGAACACAACUUUUCUAGGGACCAAAACCAUAAAAACCGGCUAAACUUGGUUACCAAAAUAUCACUCUUUGAUCAUUAUUGAUAACACUGCUUGCUAAUUUUCUGAAGUUUGAAUGCUUCAAGUGUUGGUUCAAAGAUUGUUGUAGUUUUCCUUCCAACCAUCAUAAUGUAAAUAAUGAAUCAUAACUGUUAGAAUAAUAUAUUUUAAAAAUCUCUUUCAAUUAUAGCAAUGCGAUUAAGAAAUAGCAAUGUAAAUUCAUUUUUUAUAACAUUAUAUUUUGAUAACAUUGCUUGUUAAUUUUCUGAAGUUUGAAUGUUUCAGGUGUUGGUUCAAAAUUUGUUGUAGUUUUCCUUCUAAUCAUCAUAAUGUAAAAUAACGAAUCAUAACUGUUAGAACAAUAUAUUUUGAAAAUCUCAUUCAAUUAUAGCAAUGCAAUUAAGAAAUUGCAAUGUACAUUCAUUUUUAUAGCAUACUACAACAUGUGAAAAUCCUAUCCAAUUAUACCGUUAUACUUUCAAAAUUUUCUUAUUAUAACAUUUAAGCGUUUGUAAAUGGGAGAAUCGUAGAGAAUAGCAACAUACUUUACUGUGGCUACCAAUUCAGUCAAUGUACUUUAGUUUUACACAAAACCAACACCUUCUACCCCUACAACAGGGGGGGGGGGAUCUCUAGUUAACACAUAAUGCCCAAGCUAACAACCAUACCAAUAACAUGGAUAGUAUACCUAAUUGCCUUAUUUAUAAAUAGACGUCAUGUAACAUGCCAAACUCCCCUUUGCCAUGCCAUUUACUAGAAAAUGUUCACUUAAAAAAAGACAACUAGUCACCACCACCAAUGUUUGAAGUUUUGAACACAUGAACACAUGACACCCGAUAGAAAUUGCACUACUAUCAGAAUUAGAUUGCCGUCAACUACGAAAAUGGUAUUUAAUAAUUUGAAUUAUAAAAAAAGCUAAUGCUACUUCUUUUCUAAUUCCACUUCCUGAUGUGACUUUUUUUGUCUUUUGUUAUUUAUUCUCUAUUUUGUUUUUUUAUUGUUUUUAAUUCUUUUUUAAUUUUUUAUUUUACUCUUAUUAUUAUUAUUAUUAUUAUUAUUAUUAUUAUUAUAAAUUUCAAUAACCGUAUAAAAUUCGGACAACAUUUUAAAAUUCGGAUAAAUUUUAAAAUCAUGACAACGUUAUACAUUUGAACGACAUAAUAAAAUUCAAACGCUUAUAUAAAACGGAAUUAAAACAAAGUUUGUCUUUUUAAUCACAGAUAUAUUAAUUGGUUCAAUAUUACAUUUGCAUUGUGCGUUAUGCGGAUUGAAAGCAUUUAGUUGAACAAUUUUAUAUCCAUACUGCCGAAUGUUCUAAUUUGUAUGUACGGAGAAGUUUGGACAAAACAUCAUAUAUUGGAUAUGCUCCCAGUAAAGUAAUCAUUACAUGAUGGUUAUGAUAUAUUGCAAUUUAUCAAUUAAUGUUAAUGGUAUGAGUUUGCUUUUAAAAUAAAACAAACUUUACUUUUGUUUUAUUUUAUAUAGUUGUUCGGAUUUUAUAAUGUUGUCCGAAUUUUAAAAUGUUGUCCAAAUUUUAUAUAGUUAUCAAAAUUUAUAAUAAUAAUAAUAAUAAUAAUAAUAAAAAAGAAAAAAAUAAUGUAAAUAAAAAAUAAAAAUUUAAUUAGAUUAAUGUUAGGGAUAAAAUUGAUUAAGAAGGUACCGACACAACCCAUUAAAAAAUUGAUUUGAAGUAAAUUUCAAACUAUGCUGUCAAUGGCCGAGUCGGUGUAAUAUUUUAACAUAAAUUGAUAUGCAGGAAACUUUCACUUACAGUCGUAUUUCUAAACUUUAACAACAGAAAAAAUUGAAAAUUCUAUGAAAAAUCACUUCAUCCUGAUUUUUGCCGCAUUUACCUAAAGAGUUUAUCAUCAGUUGAAAUGUCUCCGUUAUUGAUAAACUUGGUACCAUGAACUGCAGACAACUGAAAUGGCUGAAUCUGUAGAAUUUUCAAUUCAAUGCCACGUCUCUUUCCUAGACUCACAUUCACUUGUUGAUCUCGAGGCCGACAUUUCACCACCGGCAAUGGCGGAUCUAGUUCUUCCACUGCUACCUCCGGAUCCCCGAUACUAAUCAUAUAUGUCUUCUUCUUACUAUUUGGCUUCCGAACACCACCAUUACCAUUGCAGCUUCGAAUUCCGCAGUGAUUGCUGAUUGUAGCAGUGUCAGUAGGUAGUGAGAUUAGGUUUUUACCAGAGAAGAGUUUCCGAAGCUUAUUGUAAUUGAGGUUGGUAGCUGAUUUUCCGGUGGUAGCAGUAGAUAUUCUGGAGGCGGAGAUGUGGUUGUUGGCGAUGGAGGUGGAGUUGGAGUUGGAUCUCUUCUUGAUCUGACCGAUGCAGCUGAUUUUCGGGGAUGUAGGAUCCGGCGAACAUGAAGUGGAAGUAGAAGAGGAAGACGCCAAAUCGGCCAAUCUGGUAGGUUUGGCGACGUCGUUAAUGGAGAGGCGACAUAACAUUGGGAAGAAGAAGGUGUUCCUAGUCCUGGGGCUGGCGGUGUUGCCGGUGCUGCUACUGGAGUGGUGAUGAACUUGUUGAUUACUGGAUCUGUUCCCCAUGGUUGUAUCUCUCAUCUGAAAAAUAAGAUGGAAUGAUAAAGUGGACAAAAGGUAAAUAGAAAGUAUUCGAUCAGCAUCGGGAAAUACCAAUACACAACCAUAGGUACUCCAAUGCAAUCUCCAAAUAGAAUCUCUACUUUCUCACUGGUCAACAGAUCAGGUAUAUUAAAUGAGUGUCACCUCAUUACGCAUCAAAGUCUUCAAAACGUCAUAAUUUCUUGCUAAUUAAAAUUUUAAACUUUUAAUUUUUUAUUUUUUAAUUUUUCUUUUUGGAACCAAUAAUUAUAACUUGCUAUAGCAAUUUUGUUAGCUUAUAUCUCAUGUAUGGGAGGCUUUUUAUCGAUGGUAAAUCUAUAUGGCAUUUUUAUUGGAGGUUUUUAUCAAUGGUAAAGCCUAAAUGGCAUUUUUACAGGCGGUGAACAAUAUUCAAAUUUUUUUUAUGCGAAUAAUAAAUCUCAUAAAUGAACUUCCACUGACGGUAAUUUUUAAAAGUAAACAUUUUCUUAUUUUCUAAUCGGUGGUUGCAAUUUCUUUUCUUUUUUAUUUAUUUUUUUAACAUAAAUAUCACUAUAUAUAUCAUUGAUAAAAAAAAACUACCACACCCUAUCAAUAAACAAAGUGUGACAAAAAUUAUAAAAGCUUAUGUGGCGCCUAUGUAACACCCUUUUACCAUCGACAAAAACAUCCUUCAGUCUUAGCAGCAAAAUCGAAUUCGAAAACCUAAAAAUCAAAACCGGAAUAGGGGCCGAUGGUUUGGGUUAGAAUCUUUUUAAAACCGAAAUGUUGUGUUCAAUUCCGGUUUUAAAAAACAUAUAAAUCGAGAAAACCGAACCGAACCGAAAUAUAAAUAUAUNNNNNNNNNNNNNNAAUAUAAAUAUAUAAUGUAUAUGUGUAUAUAUAUAUAUAUAUAUAUAUAUAUAUAUGUGUGUGUGUGUGUGUGUGUGUGUGUGUGUGUGUGUUUUGGUCAAAAAUUGAUCAAGUGUAAUUCGACCAAAUUAUAUGAGAUAUUUGUUGGGUUUUGUAUAUUACAACAUCCUAUGGUGCACAUACAACCCUAAAUACCUUGGAUCUAUGUUUUCACUAAUUAUACAUGCAAUGAUGUUUCCAAGGUAUUAUGCCUAUAACUAGCAUGCAAUUUUCAUAACUCAUACAAGAUACUUGUUAGGGUAACAUACCUUUUGUGUAGCUUGAAGUCUUGAUGCAUUUGACCUUUAAAAGCUUAGCCCCAAUAGUGUGGAAGCCUCAAAUAGAAUCACAUCACAUCAUAGACAAAGGUGGAACUUGAGAGAGAAUUUCAUGCACCAAAACACCUCCAUUUUUCUCUAAGAAAAGAAGCACACGUUGUUGGUCAUGAAGCAACAUAUUUAUAUGGUAGAUUCCAAUGGUCAUGGGUUUAACCCAAAUCCACACCCAUGGGUUUUAUGAUCCAUGGUUCAUGUGGCCCAACUCUUUAUGUCUCCAUACAUAAACUUGGUCAAACAUGAAUCAUAAGCCCGACACAUAUAAAUAUAUCUAAUUACCAUAAUUAGUCCCCAUAGAUUUAAAUAAGUCUCCUUUGAUCACUAAAUUAAUUCUUGAUCAAUACUAAUUAAAAUAUAUGAUUUCAUAUUAAUAUAUUAUAACUUAUAAUAUAUUAAUAAAUCAUAUAUAACCUUCUCUCAAGAGUCCAUCCUAACAAAUUGUCCUGAUGAUAUGCAACCCAAAUGGAACAUGCUACUAUCGGGUCAAGUUCAUACCAAUAAUAAUUAUGGGCUUAUACAUCUAAUCCAACAAUAUUGUUGUGUUAGUGUAAUGUAAGUAUCAUAUGGUAGUCAAAGUGAUACAAAUGAGUUACAAGGAAAGCCCUUGAUUCUUUGUAGGAUCUCUGGCAUAAAACAUUAGGAGGUGAUAAUUAUCACAUGCCUUGAUAUUUUUUAUUGAUUUUAAUCUGAGGUUACAAAGAUUGUGAAAGUAAUACGAGUACAAGGGUAAUGUUAGGGCUAAUCAUGUGCGUUGUGUGCUCGAUACAUGUGUUAUUUAUAGUCUAGUGUAAGUAACAAAAAGUCCAAUAAUUUCAUGAUCCUUCGGAAUCAGCAUAUGAACAUUAUUUGACUUGGUAUUCCAGGUCUUUUGUCUGGUUGAUAUGACUCUCUGUUGAGAAUGGGUUUUGUGUAGACUAGUUUUGCACAUGUGAGAAAAACAAAGAAAAUACAGCCUUUACAAAUGCUAGAAAUAUUAGUGGUAAUAGUCAGGAUCUCGGGAUAUGUUCAACGAUCUUGAGGCUUCAGAAAUAUUUGAGAAUCCUGAGUACGAUUCAAGGAUCCUGCCCCUAACAAUUUCCCCCAAAUUAUACCUAUGAAAUAUAACUGUUAUUGUUUAGAUAUUUAGUGGUAUAUUUUUUAAGUAAAAAACGAAGUAAAAAUCUCUAAUGGAUGGGGUAAUUUGAAUUUCAAUGGGUAGACUUCUAGCCGUUGGAAUCGGUCAAAUCACCCUUCUACCUUUUAGUGAUUUCUAUAUAAAUAGGACGUCCAUCUCCUUUGUUUUACUAAUUCUUCUAGCUUUCCAUCCAUUGUCAGUUGUAUACCAUCAAAUGUACUAAUCUUGUUCCCUUUUGUCCUUCUUCUCUUUAGUCAUGGUCAAUAAAUCUAUUUGUUCUCGCUCCAGCAUCAUCAUUGUUCUUGAUGAUGAUUUCAAGGACCAAAAGAUUUUAUCUUACGAGGAAACUUGUGCCAUAAAUGGAAAUGACAUUGAGGCCCUGAAAUCAGCUGGAACUUUUCCUACCGAUACCAUAUUUAGGGCUUUUGAUGCUAGGAUUCCACCUAACUUUAUCUCUCCAUAUUGAGUUAGUUUUCCCGAAUAUCCUUUCACCCUAGGACUUUAUUACCUCUUCUUCAUAAUCAUUUCUGAAUUUUUCAAGAUCACUAAAAUCUCAUACAUUCACGUUAUGCCAACGGUUUGGAGGAUCCUCUAUUGGAUUAAUCAUUUGAACCACACUAGGGAUCUUACCAAUGGUUUAAAUGAGCUAGCGUAUAUCAAUGAUCUUACAACUUUUGGGAACUCUCGCUUCUUGUUAAUGGUCAAAACCGAUAAACUGUCCCUUUUGUUGAGAUCCAAGCAUAAUGAUGGUGUGUGGAAUGGAAGAUAUUUCUUCAUGAAAUGCGACUGGAGUCCUGAUGGAAAUCUUCAAUCACAAUCUGUAAAACCCUUGUUUUCAAGUAAUUUGAAAUCCAUCCCUUGGGUUUUAUUUAUGUCACUCGUGUACUUGGAAUUGAAUGAAGUGGCCAUGGGAAACCCUAAUGGAAAAUAAGUAACUUAUGGAGCAUGAGUUGUACGUUGGGUGUACAUGUGAGUACGCUAAGCGUACUNNNNNNNNNNNNNNNNNNNNNNNNNNNNNNNNNNNNNNNNNNNNNNNNNNNNNNNNNNNNNNNNNNNNNNNNNNNNNNNNNNNNNNNNNNNNNNNNNNNNAUAUGGGUAGUAGUGGAUCGGUUGACGAAGAGUGCUCAUAUUAUCUCGAUCCAGGAGAGUAUAUCGNAAGUUAGCCGAUAUCUAUGUGCGAGAGAUUGUGGCACGUCAUGGAGUGCCGGUAUCGGUGGUGUCAGACCGAGAUGUCCGUUUUACAUCCAGAUUCUGGAAGCGGUUCCACGACGAGAUGGGUACUCGUCUCCAUUUCAGCACCGCUUUCCACCCUCAGACGGACGGGCAGAGCGAGAGGACGAUUCAGACUCUCGAGGACAUGCUCAGGGCAUGUGUUCUAGACUUCGGUGGCAGUUGGGAUACGUAUCUUCCGUUAGCGGAAUUUUCGUAUAACAACAGUUAUCAUGCGGGCAUUGAUCGACCUCCCUUUGAGAUGAUUUAUGGGAGGAAGUGUAGGACCCCGAUUUGUUAGGGCGAGGUCGGUCAGCAAGUCGUUGGGAACACAGAGGUGGUGCUCAAGACGACCAAAUUGAUUCAGCAGGUCCGUAGUAGACUGCAGACUACGCAGAGUCGGCAGAAGAGCUACGCCGACAGGAGGCGUUCAGACUUGGAGUUCCAGGUAGGCGAUAUGGUCCUUCUGAAGGUCUCACCCUGGAAGGGUGUCAUCAGGUUUCGGAAGAGGGGCAAGCUGGGCCCCAGGUUCAUUGGUCCUUUCAGGGUUUUGGCCCGAGUGGGUCGGGUUGCUUAUCGGUUGGAUCUUCCUGUAGAGCUUAGCCAGAUCCACAACACUUUCCAUGUGUCUCAGUUGAGGAAGUGUUUGGUGGAUGAGUCAGCAGUUGUUCCCCUAGAGGAUAUUCAGGUUGAUAGCAGCCUGAAUUAUAUUGAGAGGCCGGUCGCGAUUCUGGACCGGAAGACAAAGACCUUGAGGAACAAGGCAAUUCAGUUAGUGAAGGUGCAGUGGCAACACCGGAAGGGGUCUGAGUGGACGUGGGAGGCUGAGGAGGAAAUGAGAGAGCACUACCCGGAGUUAUUUGCAGAUUCAGCCAUAGCAGACUUCGAGGACGAAGUCUGAGACAAGUGGGGGAGAAUUGUAACGCCCCGUAUCUAGUACGUUGAUUCCGUGGCAUUUAUUUAGAAGUUUUCAAGAGGGAAUCGGCGAGUCUAUAGCCCGACUUGUCAAGUAGGGGCGGGAUUUUGAGCACGUGUUAGUCGGCGACUCGGCGAGUCCAUAUUCGGGACUCGGCGAGUCUGCCUGCCAGGAAGAAACCCUAAAUCCCCGGGUUGCUCACUAUUUAAGCAACAUUAUGUGCCCCCAAACUCGCCUCCUUCACCCUCAGAGAGCUGUGAGAAACCCUAAUCCAUCCCUUGAUUGAUCUAAGUGUUUUUGUGUGGAUUUUGAAGGCUUGAAGAAGAAGAAGAAGAAGAAGAAAGGAACAAGGAGAAGAGGUGUAGAGCAAAGAUCCAAGGGCAAAAUCAGAGUUCAGUGAGGUAUUUCUCGGAUUCCUUCUGUUUUAUGCUUUAAACCUCCAUUAGAAUACUUCUAGGGCUAGUUUGAUGUAUUUUCCAAACCCUAUUGUUGUAUGGAUGCCUUAAUAGGUCGAGAUAUCGCUAGAUCUGUUCAUUUAAGAGUUGUAGAGCCCGGAUCUAUUGCCUUUUUGAAGAUGCUUUGCAUAAGAACCCUAGAUCUAGCUCUUAUUAUGCAUUUUGAGCCUUAUUAUCUUCUUGGACGCUUAUGGGCACGUAAAGAUAGAAUCUUUACGUGCUAAUCGAACUAAGGAAGCCCAGAUCUACAAGUUUUAGACGCUGGAUUCAAGCAGAAUCGAGUUUAGAGUAGCUGCAUGGAUGUGACUCGGCGAGUCGGAAGAACGACUCGGCGAGUCAAGUCGCGAGUCCCGNNNNNNNNNNNNNNNNNNNNNNNNNNNNNNNNNNNNNNNNNNNNNNNNNNNNNNNNNNNNNNNNNNNNNNNNNNNNNNNNNNNNNNNNNNNNNNNNNNNNNNNNNNNNNNNNNNNNNNNNNNNNNNNNNNNNNNNNNNNNNNNNNNNNNNNNNNNNNNNNNNNNNNNNNNNNNNNNNNNNNNNNNNNNNNNNNNNNNNNNNNNNNNNNNNNNNNNNNNNNNNNNNNNNNNNNNNNNNNNNNNNNNNNNNNNNNNNNNNNNNNNNNNNNNNNNNNNNNNNNNNNNNNNNNNNNNNNNNNNNNNNNNNNNNNNNNNNNNNNNNNNNNNNNNNNNNNNNNNNNNNNNNNNNNNNNNNNNNNNNNNNNNNNNNNNNNNNNNNNNNNNNGACUCGGCGAGUUGGCGGCCCAACUCGGCGAGUCAGGUCAACUGUGGGUUGACUUUGACCGGGAGAGUUGACUUUGACCAAGGGUAAAAGAGUCAUUUUACCCCAGUGCAGUGAUUAGCAUUUGAUUGAGUGUGUUUAUGGAUUUGUAGCCGGGGAGAUACCGGAGCAGCAGCAGUUAGCUUCCAGAGCCAUACACACAGCAGCCAGUUCACGAGGUGAGUUUCCUUCCAGUAGAAACGGGUAUACGGCUACAAUGCCGGCCCGUUUAGUUAGUAGCAGUUUCGGACUUCAGUCCGAAGCAGUAGUUCAGUAUGCUUGAGGUCUAUGUGAUUCAAGCAUGUUUGUGUGUUAUAUGUUCCGGACUUCGGUCCGAUGCAGUAUGCAGUAUAUGGGUUUAUAUUAGUUGAUAUGUGUUAUGCUAUGCUAUGAUCAGUCAGUUCUGGACUUCGGUCCGAUGCAGUCAGUUCCGGACUUCGGUCCGAUGCAGUCAGUUCCGGACUUCGGUCCGAUGCAGCUAGUUCCGGACUUCGUUCCGAUGCAGUGGGCAAGGCCCAGUAUGUGCUUUAUAUGUAUUGUAUGGUAUGUGGUAGUUUGGGGGAGUUCAUUAAGCUUCAUGCUUACAGUUUCAGUUUUGGUUUCAGGUACUUUCGCAAGCAAAGGGAAGAGCUCGGGAUGAUGGCAUCGCACACACCACAACUUCAGUUUUUGUCCUGGGAGUUGAUUCAGUUUCUUGAUAUGUUUGGAUACAGUUGUGAUACAGUUUUUCUCACAGUAUUUUAUCAUGGUUUUUGAACACGCAACGUAUGGUUUUGUUAUGUGAUACUUGGUUUCAUGGUUUUGUUAUAAUAUAAAAAUUGAAAUUUUUGGGUCGUUUCAGUACUAAAGUGCACCUAGUACGUUGAGUGUACGCAUAUGUAUGUAGGGCGUACGUAUGUCUAGGUGAAACCCUAACCUUUAGGAUUUGUGGAGUAUUUAAGCAUUCUUAUGGGUCGUUUUGACUCACUCUUUCAGCCUCCAAGUCCCUUAGCUGUUUUGAGUGAACCCUAACCCCCAUAGUGAGCAUCUUGAGCUUGUAGUGUGGUUUUGUGUGCAAAAAGGAGAAGUUCAUGCAUCAAAGGGGUCAAGGAAGGAAGCAAUCUUGUAGAUCUAGGAUAAUCAUCUUCUUGGGAAGCUUCAGAAGGUAUAAAGCUUCUACCUUUAUGCUUGGAUUGUUUAGAUCUUGCUUUGGUUGCUUUUUGGUGUUCUUCUUGUCCCAAAAGUCCCAAAUUUGUGCAUGCUUUGCUUUAGAAAUGUUGAGCUGUCCUUUCAGACCUUAGAUGGGUCCUAAGGCAUAAAAAUGAGGUUCUAAUGGUUAGAAGUGUCCCAUGUAUAUGGUAGAAAGGUCUUAAUGGAUUAAGACCUUGUAUUAAGAGCUUUUAGAUGUCUAAAGUCAUAAAGUUUGAGACUUUAUGACUCUAACGUGCAUUUGGACCAUGGAUCUGAAGUUUGGGCUUAACUUCUUAAGCUAUUAAGCACUUAUCAUGAUUUUGGUCUCUAUGAGGGUACGCCCCACAUAAGUUUUGUAUGCCCUACGUACAAAGUCAACCACCCCAAUGGUGGUCAAUGCGAGGCGAAGUACACCCAACAUACCGAAGGGGGUACGCCCUGCGUACAUCCUCUAUUUAGAUUUCAAACUUCGGCUUUGGGUAUUGGUCCAUCUAUUGGACUUUGAUACUUAGGCCCUAAUGGACUAACCGGAUAAGUGUGUUUUGGGCUAAUUAGAGGAUCAAACCUUUGGAUAAGGACCAAUAAGGAGUUGGGCCUAAUUUAGAAAAUUGGGCCAAGUAUGGACCUUGAAGUAAUUUGGGCCUUUUGGAUAAAGAUUUGGUUUUGGUUUGCAUUGGGUUGUGUUGGGCCGUCUGGGAUCUUAUGGUUGGGCUUUUGGCUAGGUAGAUCUUCUUGGGUGAAGGCCAAGAAAAGAAUUAGGGCCAAUUUGGAAAAUUGGGCCAUAAUCAGACUUAAGGAGUUUAUUUUGAUAUUGGGCCUUUUGUCAUCUAGUUUGGGCCUUUGCCACGGGCCAAGUUGGAGGAAGGGUAAAAGGGUAUUUUACCCUGAAUUAGACACAUAAUAUGAGUCUGUGACUAGAUGUUGAUGGAUUGUCAUUUUGGUAUCUGUUAGCGCGGAUCUGCUUAAGAAAUAGGUAACGGUACCGAGAAGAAAAGAAGAAGAAGAAAAUUUUACUAUUGCUCUAUUAAAAAAAAUGCGUAGAACAAAAAGAUAUAAAUACUACAAAAAUAGCUAGGGCCGGCUAACCAAAAUAAUCCUAACUGGAAUCUAAUUCCUAAUAGAUAAUGACAUUUAAAAAUAACAAAUAAGAACAAAUUCAAAUAAUCAGGAAUCUGCCAUAAUUCUUCACUCACCCUCAAGCUGGGUAUGAAUAUCAAUCAUAUCCAACUUGCCUUUCAUGCUGUCAAAUUUGUUCUUAGGAAGUGCCUUGGUCAGAACAUCAUCAAUUUGAUAGUUUGAAGGGAUAUGAGACAAUUUCAGAAUACCAGCAUCAAGCUUUUCCUUGGUAAAAUGAUGGUCAAUCUCCACGUGUUUUGUGUGAUCAUGAUGAACUGGGUUUUUAGCAAUUUCAAUCGCUGCAUUAUUGUCACAAAAAAGAGUCAUCUUUAUGUUCUGUGACAUCUUAAGUUUUUUAAGCAUCCUUCCCAUCCAAAUUCCUUCACAAAUUCCUUGACACAUAGCUCGGAAUUCAGCCUAUGCACUACUUCUAGCUACAAUCGAUUGCUUCUUACUUAACCUACUGACAAGAUUACCCCACACAAAAGUACAAUAACCGAUUGUAGAUCGACCAUCUACACUAGAUCCUCCCCAAUCUGCAUCAGUAAACACUUUGACUUCUCGAUCAACAUUCUUUUUGAAAAACAAUCCAGCUCCUGGACGUCUUUUUAGAUAACUAAGUAUUUGAAAAAUAGCUUCCAAAUGUUGUACUUUUGGAGCAUUCAUGAACCUACUCACCAUACCUAUUGGAAACCCAAUAUCAGGUCUCAUAUGAGCAAGAUAAAUUAGUUUUCCAACUAAUCUUUGAUACCUUCCUUUUUCAACCAUCUCAUCCCCAUCUUGUGUUCGAAAUUUCUUCCCUGGUUCCAUUGGUAUGCUUGUUGGUUUGCAUCCUAACAUCCCAGUUUCCUUUAAGAGAUCUAGAGUAUACUUCCUUUGUGUAACCGAGAUGCCCUUCGUAGACCGUGCAAUUUCCAUACCAAGAAAAUAUUUUAGUUGACGGAGAUCUUUGAUUUUGAAUUCUUCACCUAAAACUUGUUUUAGUUCAUCAAUCUGCUUUUUGUAGUCACUGGUGAUGACGAUGUCAUCAACAUAGACAAUCAUGAUAGCCACCUGUCCAUCAUUUGAGUGUUUAGUAAACAUUGUAUGAUCUGUUUGUUCCUGAGUAAAACCAUAAUUUUUAACCACUCAUGUCAGUCGUUCAAACCAAGCUCGAGGUGACUGUUUCAACCCAUACAAGGACUUUCUAAGUUUACACACCAUUCCUUUAUUUUCUUGAGAUUCGAGGCCCGGUGGAACGUCCAUGUCACUUCUUCUUCCAGUUCUCCAUUUAAGAAAGCAUUUUUUACAUCAAGUUGAUGUAACGACCAAUCAAGAUUAGCAGCAAAUGAAAAUAAUGUUGGAUUAAUGUCUAAGUCCAUAACUAUAUUUGGUAUGUACUUGACCCGACCCGACAUGGUCCAUUUGGGUUGCACUUCACCGGCACAAUUUAUAUGGUUAGUCUUUUGAGAAUAGUAUAUUUAUGAUUUAUAUUAAUAUAUUAUAAGUUCCAAUAUAUUAAUAUGGAAUCAUAUUAUUUAAAUAGUAUUGAUCAAGAAUUAAUUAGUGAUCAAAAGGAACUAAUUAAAUAUGGACUCUUAUAUAUAUAUGGAAUGGGCCAAGUUCAUUUAGGUUGGGCUAAGCUAUCAUGGAUAGUCCAAGGAGUUUUAACACAUGGAUCCUAUGAAAUGAAAGGUCAUGGGUAUUAGGGUUUACAUGAAUGUAAUCCUAAUCCUACAUACUAUAUAAAGAGGUCUUUGGGACAAGAAAUGGUACUAGUGUGUGAGGACAUAAGAGUGGGCCGAUUUUAGUGUGCAUACAUAUUAUCUCAAGUUCUUCCAAGGUGUUUUAAUGAUUUUUGAUUCCACUUGAGGCUUCCACACUACUAGGGCUAAGCUCUUAAAGCUUGAAGACAUCAAGCUACAUCAAAAGGUAUGUCAUCUAACUAGAACUUUGUGGUAUAGGUGCUUCAUAAUAUGCUAGUUAGGAUGAAAGCUUGGAAUAUUUAAUAUUUACAUGUAUAAUAAAGAAAACAUAUAUCCAAGGUUUAUAGGGUUGCAUGUACACCAUAGGAGUGUUAGAAUGCUCAAAACCCAACAAGUAACACUCGGAUUGUGACAUCCCCAAAAUCACGGCCAGAAAAGACCGAUUUCAUUUAUGCUUUUUAAAAUAAUUUUAGAGUAAAUCCUUUUGAUUUAAAAGUGUUGCGGAAUUUGUUCCCAAAACAAAACAUGAUAAAAUAAUAUUUAUCAAAGCAUUUCAUCAAGAGAUGCAUUUUCAUUAUAUAAUCAAAACUCGGGAUGUCAUGUUCCGAUACAGACC